AAAAUAAAGCUAUAGAUUAGCAUUUCACUUACGUUGAGAAGAAUAUUCGAGCAGAAUCGAGUUGUUUUGAA
rnacentral:tRNA from 1 species